GGGACUGGCGAGGUGCUACCAUGCAGUCGAGCGGUAAGGCCCUUCGGGGUACACGAGCGGCGAACGGGUGAGUAACACGUGGGUGAUCUGCCUCGCACUCUGGGAUAAGCCUGGGAAACUGGGUCUAAUACCGGAUAUGACCACUGAUCGCAUGGUUGGUGGUGGAAAGAUUUAUCGGUGCGAGAUGGGCCCGCGGCCUAUCAGCUUGUUGGUGGGGUAAUGGCCUACCAAGGCGACGACGGGUAGCCGACCUGAGAGGGUGACCGGCCACACUGGGACUGAGACACGGCCCAGACUCCUACGGGAGGCAGCAGUGGGGAAUAUUGCACAAUGGGCGAAAGCCUGAUGCAGCGACGCCGCGUGAGGGAUGACGGCCUUCGGGUUGUAAACCUCUUUCGACAGGGACGAAGCGCAAGUGACGGUACCUGUAGAAGAAGCACCGGCCAACUACGUGCCAGCAGCCGCGGUAAUACGUAGGGUGCGAGCGUUGUCCGGAAUUACUGGGCGUAAAGAGCUUGUAGGCGGUUCGUCGCGUCGAUUGUGAAAACUUGCAGCUCAACUGCAAGCUUGCAGUCGAUACGGGCGGACUAGAGUACUUCAGGGGAGACUGGAAUUCCUGGUGUAGCGGUGAAAUGCGCAGAUAUCAGGAGGAACACCGGUGGCGAAGGCGGGUCUCUGGGAAGUAACUGACGCUGAGAAGCGAAAGCGUGGGUAGCGAACAGGAUUAGAUACCCUGGUAGUCCACGCCGUAAACGGUGGGUACUAGGUGUGGGUUUCCUUCCACGGGAUCCGUGCCGUAGCUAACGCAUUAAGUACCCCGCCUGGGGAGUACGGCCGCAAGGCUAAAACUCAAAGGAAUUGACGGGGGCCCGCACAAGCGGCGGAGCAUGUGGAUUAAUUCGAUGCAACGCGAAGAACCUUACCUGGGUUUGACAUACACCAGAAAGCCGUAGAGAUACGGCCCCCCUUGUGGUUG
rnacentral:rRNA from 1 species